ACGUCAAGUCCUCAUGGCCCUUACGGGCUGGGCUACACACGUGCUACAAUGGCGGUGACAGUGGGUUGCUACCUUGCAAGAGGAAGCUAAUCCCCAAAAACCGUCUCAGUUCGGAUUGUUCUCUGCAACUCGAGAGCAUGAAGUUGGAAUCGCUAGUAAUCGUGGAUCAGCGUGCCACGGUGAAUACGUUCUCGGGCCUU
rnacentral:rRNA from 1 species